GAAUUAGAAUCCAUGUGCUCACUUUAGCAGCGCAGAAACAGAGAAGAUUAGCACGGCCUCUGUGCAAGAAUGGCACGCAAAUUCAUGAAACGUUCCAUAUUUUU
rfam:Ictidomys tridecemlineatus contig028800, whole genome shotgun sequence.